AGUCCACGCCGUAAACGAUGUCGACUUGGAGGUUGUGCCCUUGAGGCGUGGCUUCCGGAGCUAACGCGUUAAGUCGACCGCCUGGGGAGUACGGCCGCAAGGUUAAAACUCAAAUGAAUUGACGGGGGCCCGCACAAGCGGUGGAGCAUGUGGUUUAAUUCGAUGCAACGCGAAGAACCUUACCUGGUCUUGACAUCCACGGAAGUUUUCAGAGAUGAGAAUGUGCCUUCGGGAACCGUGAGACAGGUGCUGCAUGGCUGUCGUCAGCUCGUGUUGUGAAAUGUUGGGUUAAGUCCCGCAACGAGCGCAACCCUUAUCCUUUGUUGCCAGCGGUCCGGCCGGGAACUCAAAGGAGACUGCCAGUGAUAAACUGGAGGAAGGUGGGGAUGACGUCAAGUCAUCAUGGCCCUUACGACCAGGGCUACACACGUGCUACAAUGGCGCAUACAAAGAGAAGCGACCUCGCGAGAGCAAGCGGACCUCAUAAAGUGCGUCGUAGUCCGGAUUGGAGUCUGCAACUCGACUCCAUGAAGUCGGAAUCGCUAGUAAUCGUGGAUCAGAAUGCCACGGUGAAUACGUUCCCGGGCCUUGUACACACCGCCCGUCACACCAUGGGAGUGGGUUGCAAAAGAAGUAGGUAGCUUAACCUUCGGGAGGGCGCUUACCACUUUGUGAUUCAUGACUGGGGUGAAGUCGUAACAAGGUAACCGUAGGGGAACCUGCGGUUG
rnacentral:rRNA from 1 species